ensembl:lncRNA
AAGUCAGUCUUUUUGCUUAUGAACUGAAUACCACAGAAUCAUUGGAGGACAAUACUGAAUAAUAAUUAAUUUGUUAGCAGGUUAAUGACAGGCCCUGAAAUAGAUCCUUGGAAUAUUCCUAUCAAUAUAGCAUAAUAUAAUGUAGUAUAAUAUAUGCUAUAUUAUAGCAUAUAUAUAUAUACACUACAUUAUAUAUAAUAUAGUAUAAUAUAAUAUAGUUCCAUUCACGGAAUGGAACACCUCUCCUGUGAGGACAGGCUGAGAAAGCUGGGGCUGCUCAGCAUGGAGAAGUGAAGGCUGUGAGAUGACCUAAUAGUGGCCUUUCAGUAUCAUUAGCAUGAAACUGCAAAGAGGAAAUCGUGCAGAUUGUGAAAAGGAGUCUAAAAGUUCUUGUAAUUUAAGAAUCACAUGAAACACUGAAAAAUGCAACUACAGCUUCUAGGGAGGGAUGUUCAGAAGGAAGAACUCUUUAAAUCUUUGCAUAUUUAGUCAAAUUAAAUGCUGUUUUUAUUUUAGUAGGUAAUAAAAUUUAUAAUAUGAUACAUGGAAACAAGAAAACACUAAAAAUCUUUCAUUUAAGAACUAGUUGAACAAAUCAAAGUUGAUAUGUCAUCAGGAAUAUUGAAAUCCUCUAUUAAAUAGAUAUACGGCAAACAGUCUCCAUUCUGAUCCUAUGACAGCAGUAUGAACUGUAAAUCCUGUAGAACAACGUCAUAUGAAAAAAAAAAUGGCUUUCUAAUAGCUGCAAUCCUGAUUAAUGUGACAGAAUGAAAUAGGCUUCUGAAAGCCUCUGACUACAACAAAAUCAAGAUUGAGUGACUCCUCAUAACAACAGUAAAAAAGCAGAGGAAAUGAAACCUAAGCUAACCUGUGGUGUUGCAAGUAAGUAUUAACAGAAUAUUUUGUGUAAAUUACUUCUUCAGAUCACCUUGAAUCAAAUUGAACUGUGUUUGAUGCAGGUGAUUUGACUAACCUUCAAAGCUUUAUCCCCUCUGAUUCCUUUACUACUUGUAGCUGGGUCAUGCAGAUAUCCUUAAACAAGAUGCAAGGUUUUCUUUUGUUUCACAUUUCAAUGCUGGAAGAGUGUAUACUUACACAAUAGAAGUAAGAGAGAAAAUGACGUUCGGCUUUUAGUUGUAGAAGACAGAUGCCGAAUUUUCACAAUUGCCUGCAAUAAUGUGUUUUCAAAAGACUCCAGUCUAAAAGCUGCUCUUUCACUUGCCAUGUUGCCCGCAGAGACAAGUUUUGCUCAUGUCAGGGUUGAGCAAUCUCAAUAUCUGAAAUGGCAGCACGAUGACAAGCACAGAGCAGAGAGAGAAAUAAAAGUACUACCUCUCCAUUUCAAUCUCAUUUCAUUUGAUGCUUGCUGGUGAUCCUACUGUGGCAGAAAGCAUUUUAUUUCUGGUACAGAGUCUCUGGUUGGAGACUCAGAGUUGGAAGAUGUAAAAUGUAAUGUUUUCUUUUGAUUGUCCGGGGGUACUUUUGCUUUAUUGAUGAGAUCCAAUGCUCUUGUUGGAGGAUUUCCCAUGCACAGAAGUAUAUAUAACUACUAGAAGAACUUUAACUUUCUUUACUCUAAAACUGGUUUCCUGGAUUCUAAGUUG